rnacentral:rRNA from 3 species
UAGGAAUCUACCUAGUAGUACGGAAUAAUUGUUGGAAACGGCAACUAAUACCGUAUACGCCCUACGGGGGAAAAAUUUAUUGCUAUUAGAUGAGCCUAUAUUAGAUUAGCUAGUUGGUGGAGUAAUAGCCUACCAAGGCAAUGAUCUAUAGCUGAUCUGAGAGGAUGAUCAGCCACACUGGAACUGAGAUACGGUCCAGACUCCUACGGGAGGCAGCAGUGGGGAAUAUUGGACAAUGGGCGAAAGCCUGAUCCAGCCAUGCCGCAUGAGUGAAGAAGGCCUUUGGGUUGUAAAGCUCUUUUAGUGAGGAAGAUAAUGACGGUACUCACAGAAGAAGUCCUGGCUAACUCCGUGCCAGCAGCCGCGGUAAUACGGAGAGGGCUAGCGUUAUUCGGAAUUAUUGGGCGUAAAGGGCGCGUAGGCGGAUUAGUAAGUUAAAAGUGAAAUCCCAAGGCUCAACCUUGGAAUUGCUUUUAAAACUGCUAAUCUAGAGAUUGAAAGAGGAUAGAGGAAUUCCUAGUGUAGAGGUGAAAUUCGUAAAUAUUAGGAGGAACACCAGUGGCGAAGGCGUCUAUCUGGUUCAAAUCUGACGCUGAGGCGCGAAGGCGUGGGGAGCAAACAGGAUUAGAUACCCUGGUAGUCCACGCUGUAAACGAUGAAUGUUAAAUAUGGGAAGUUUUACUUUCUGUAUUACAGCUAACGCGUUAAACAUUCCGCCUGGGGACUACGGUCGCAAGAUUAAAACUCAAAGGAAUUGACGGGGACCCGCACAAGCGGUGGAGCAUGUGGUUUAAUUCGAUGCA